AUCGAAAUAUAAUAUUUAAUUAGUAAAAAAUUUAAAUUUUUAUCAAAAAUAAAAAAAAAACCACUCGACCAUUUCAAAAUUACAGCAUUUAGAAACAGCAAUCCUUGUCACCGUUUGGAAUGUAGUUUUAGAUCGUUUCAAUUCAGCUAGUAAAAAACUUCAAGAAUCUCAAGCUGAUUUAUCAUUGUUCAAAAUUAUAGUUCGUUGGCUCUAUUUCUUCAAGACAUGAGACAUACAAUUUUCUGAAUAUGAAAAAAAAGCCAAAGCACUAUCUGUGGUUCACGAAUAUUAUCGUUAUGAUACAGGUCGCAAAAAAACAAGAAACAUUUAGACAGAUGAGUCACGGAUAAUUGAGUGUCCAAUAAGCCGGGCGUAAAAGUGCAUAUGAAAAACUUUACGAAAAUUAAAAAUUUUUUUGAUGAUUUAUCUGAGAUUGAUAGAAAGGAAUUGAAAAAUCUUGGCAUUAAAGUAGUCAAUCCUGACGAUUUGCGGAUACGGAAGAUAUACGCUCUUCACAAAAAAUAUGCAAUGCAAAUGUGGACAUUGCUCUCCGUAUUUUUUUGAGAAUUCCGGCGACAAAUUGUUUAGGAGAAAGAUCUAUUUCGCCAAGAUAGACCUAAUACUUUGGCAUUACUUAUGUUGGGUCACCCUAAUGACAUUUAUCUGUGAUCCGGAUAAAAUACUGUCAUAGUUCUAAUUUGAUAGCAUUCGUAAAUCAACUGCUUAUAUUCAUACACACACACGUACAUGCAUUGUACUCGUAAAUCUCUCUUCUUUUCUAACUAUGAAAAGAGAACAAUAUGGAUAAGGAGCAGGUUCGCCUCCACGCAGUGCAUACUAGGUAACGCUAAAUGACCUGCGGCAUACCGUCUGAAGAGCUCGGACAUUAACGCAAGAGCACAAUACUCCUGGUUUUACAUGCCUCCAUCAAUUCAUAUAAUUUGUAUACAUUGCGCAGAUAUUUUAAAAAUGUUUCGUUACCAAUAAUAAUGAUAUUAGAAGGAGCGCUUGAAGCCAGAUCUAAAGAUUUACGCAAUUAUAGGCUGAACUACAUCGAAAAACCUCGAACUGCUCAUCAUGGAAGACUCUCUCAUAACCUCAAAAUCUAAAAGUACUUCGAAGUGCUCUAAAAUGUGAAUAUGUUCAUACAGAUAAUGAAAUCAAGCAGCUUUUUUUUUAAAUGUGAAUGAGUUACCGGACAGUUGUAUUUCCGAAAGCUCUGAUUUGAAUUAUAUUUCUAAGCAUUUCCUUGAAUGUUAAGUAUUAAGAAUUUAUAAAAAAUGUAUUUGUGUUAUAAAAAAACGAAGAAUUACAGCUAACAUUUGGUACUUUUUCAUAUUUUUCAUAUAUGUUGUAUAUAAAAUAAUAAAGAAAAACAAGAAAAUUAUCGAAAUUUACUGAUAAAGUAUUUGUAAUUAAUAAUUAAUAAAAAUAACAUUACACUUAAAUCGAAGGACGAACCUGUCACAUCUAUAGCGACCACAAAACAUUAAACCAAUUGAAACAAUUAAGUUUCGUUCUGAGGUGCUACGAACAUUCAAAUCACUAACCAGUUGAUUUGUUCGGCCUAGAUUUCAAAAUGACAGUAUAGCUUUCGCAAGAGCAUGCGAGAAAAGUCAGAAAUUUUAAACAACCCGGCAAACAUUUGCGACUCUUAAACGCUACGAAUCAGGAGACAUGCUAUUCGAUCAUAUUAGUUUCGACGAUGUAGAUCCUUUUCCUUAACAUAUCCGUAACCGCCACUUUCUCACAAUCCGCUUUACCCGACAUGAUGACACCACACAUCGCAAAGCUCGAAUCGUUAAUUAGAUUGCAAGAGCUGCUCGCUCGGUAUAACACAUAUGAAGACAACAAAGGGUAAGUCGAAAAAUGGCAUCGUACGUUGAAACGUUUAAUUUUAUGCAUCAACUCAGAACAUUGGACAGACUUUCACCGACCAUCUCCUAGCCCUACGAAUCAUCUACAAGCAAGACCUAGGGCGUCACCUGCUGAGUUAAAUUAUGGUUCAGCAUUGUAAAUUUUUUCAGAAUUUUUUAUACGUUGCUGUUGACAUAAAACGCCGUUAAUUACUCAACUCCAAGAGAGGAUCAUCAAUCAGAUCAUGGAAUGCAUCGACGCUAUACGUUACAUUUAAGAAACUCACAGAAACAUUAGCAUCACUCGUAGUGCUGUUGGGUUAGUGUGUGUUUGAGCUGCUUAAUAAUUACCGCAAUAUUACAACCCUGUUACUGACUUGAUACACUGUUGCUGAUGCUCAGCUGAUAAUCUGCUACAAUAUUGCAGUAAUUAUUUCACGUAGACCAUGUUACUUAAAAUAUGAAAAUUUUAACGUACAUAAUUGCAGACGAAUUGUUGGAAAAUGAAGGUCAUACUUUUUUGAUAAAUACGGACAUAAAAAAGACAAAGAAAUCGGAUUUUGUUUAAAUAAUACUGCAAAAAAACGAAAAGUGUUAACAGUGAAAUACCUUUUCAGUAGUAUUGAAUUACGCCAAAUUUUAAGCGAAAAACAAAGAAUAAAUUUUAUCGAUCAUAAAAUUUAUAUUUUCUACAAAUUGCACUUACAAUUCCUCCCCCGUCUAAGCGCGUAAUCAAAAUUUGUAUGUUGCUUUUGUUUUGCUAGUGAUGUGCAACAGUUAAUCUUAAUUAACCGAUUGGUCCCUUAAUCCUUUAAUUCUUUCCCUUUUCUCAUGGACUCUCAUGCCAUUGAACGUACCGACAGCAGAGAUCAGGAGCAUCGAACAUAUUAUAUUACUAACAAUGUGUAUAAGUUUUAAAUUACAAUAGUGAAAUGAAUAAUUUUGAAUUUGUAUGAAAAUCUAUGGCUUUAGACCAUGAAUUAAUUAUAUAAGGUUGUGUCGAUGUGCUCGAUUUUAUGACUCAAAAAUACCCUUUAACAAAUUCCGUAUUACACUUUUAAAGUUUAAUCCGAUAUACCAAUACCCACAUAUCUAGUGCUAACUUUUGGUUUUUAAAUUUGAACAUUCACACUCUUCCAGCUAUACAAUUUUUCAUCAAAAAUGUAUGUUUCUUAAAUAUUAUACAAUUUAAUUUUGGUUUAUAGAGUUCAAACUUAGCAAAGGCUUUUAUAAAGAAGAUAAAAAUUAUGGUGUCCUAAACAUUGGAUGUACAAUUGUAUUUAUUUCUAGAUCUCAAAUGAACAUAAAAUUCUGUUACAUCUGCGAUUUUUUGGGCCUCAGUUGCUAAAGACUGUAAAGAAAAAAAUCUGUACAUUGAAGUGGAAGGUACCUGUACAAGAAAGUACUAUUUUCUAAGUGUUAAAUAAAUAUUAAUUGGAUAGUAAAAAAUUUAUUGAAUACCGUGCUACCAGUCAAAAGACGAAGACGCUUUAAUUUCUGGUGAAGAAAAAAUUCCUUUAAAGUUUGUUGGGCGUGUGUGGACGCCACUCGUAUUGUAAAUACCAAAUCUAUAAUGAUAAUGAUUAGGUAAAUGAGUUUUAGUUGUAAUUCAUUUCUAGUUCGUAAACGCUACACUUCUGAACGAUUAUUGAGGUAGUUAAUUUGUUAGCAAGUUUAAUCAAAAAAGGAAAUUAUGUAACUUUUAUGGAUAUUGUAUAUAUAUAAUUGUGGUCAUAUAUCGGCAUUGGAGUAAUAUUUUUUUAAUUAGAAUUAAACCUAACUGUGGCCAAAAUUGUACAUAUAUAUUGUAUAUUGGUAUGUUGAAUAAGUAUUAUUGUUUUUAAAAAUCCAUACUUCCAUACUAAUAAGUUAAAUGUGAAUGUAAUUGUAACGGAUUUCUCGAAAAAUCGCCUACUUUGUAACUCACCGUUGAGUUCGAUCACUGAAUUGUUAAAUAAAAGUCCGAAUUUAAUGGCUA